CAUCGAAAACUUUAAACAGCCAGCUGCAGAGUUGCUAGAAUUGGAGUUGCUAGAAUUGCAGGGUGUGUGGGCUGGGCCUGGCCCAGGCUUGUGGCAGUGAGAAUGCGAAGGUGAGGAGAUGUUAUAUAGAAGCCACCGGCAGGCUGUGGUGAGUGACAGGAUGGGGAAAAAGGGAGCAUCCAAAGAAGUGGUCCAGCUGUGGAACCUCCAAGAAUGUCGGUGCUUCUGACAGUAUCAGCAAAGUCAGAGUAGAAACCGAUUUUGGAGGCAGGCAGGUGGGCUCUGUGUGAGCUAGGUGCAGCUGAGGGAACGGCAGGACAUUCCAGAGAGGCCCACCGCCCUGGGCGCUGCCACAUGGAUGCUCUCAGAAGAGGUGAGGGCCUGUUUCCAGCCUGCCCUGAGAGCUGACUCAUGAAGCCGCUGAUUCCCACUACACUCUCUCAACAGCGCCACAGAAAAUACCAUCUCAAAGGACUGGUACGAGCACUGACCAAGCCUCAUUCAAUGAUCUUCAUCACAGAGUGCUGAACACAGUGCCAGACACCCGUGGGGACAUUCCAGAAAAGUUCAUUUCUCUCGUGUGUUUCCUUCUUCUGGGAAAGGAUUUGGCUGAGUAUGGUCUAAUUCGUACUAAGGUGUUAAUAGUUGAAAAGCUGAACAUUCUUGUACCCUAAGGAAGAGAUCAUGCUGCUCCAUUCUGUGGUAGACUGUCCGGAAAAAUGGCAGGGAGUUCGAGAGGGGAUAUAUUAUGACUACAUUCCAAAAUCUGAUCAGCACGUGGGGCUGGCUGCUGGGUUUCCAUGCCUGCAUACCAAUGAAGCUGCAUCUGGAGCAGAAUAGUUUGUGCCCAUAAACCAUGACCUUCAUUAUCCACGGAGGCGGCCAGCAGUGGCAGUCCCUGUAGAAAUCGUUCCCAUCCCAAUUGCGAGGGUGGCAGAGGCGACAAGACUAUGCCAUUCGUCUCAGCAGUGCUAACAAAUGUUUUCUAUAGUGCUGUGCAAAAUACACUCUUCCGCUAUUCUUUCUGGCUGGGAUGGGCUUUUUUUUCCAAUUAAAAAU